rnacentral:miRNA from 1 species
CCAGUGGGGCUGCUGUUAUCCG